GGUAAGACAUAUUGUGUAUCAAUUAUGAAUGUUUAUUUGCCCACCUAAUUGAAAAUAAUUGUACUUUUUACUUUGUUUAAUUGUACUUUGCUUUGCUUAUUUGUUAGUGAUCAGAAUUAUUUUUUGGGUUAGUGUAACAUUAAAUAAUUUAAUAGUUAUUCAAAGUCGAACAGUUGAAAUAUCAAGUAGAUUCACAUAUGCAGGGCAUACGUUAAAAUAGUGUUUUGCAGAAGUAUCCGGUUAGUAAUGUGAAUUAAAGGACAUGACUAUAUGAUGAAUACCAGCAGUGAUGAAACCUAAGAGUAGCAACAAACAUAAAUUUGAAAGGCAGCCAGAGUAAACACGCCAGCACCUACUCACACAUGGAUUGAAAGGGUCGUUCCUAAAAGAAAUGGAAUGCUAUUGGAGGGUAAUCUCUGGGGCUGAAGAGGACACUGGACAAUGAGGAUCGCCGUCGCAGCCACUCUAAUAUAGCCAAGGAUUUUGAGGCAACAUCUCUACCGAAGAGGACCUUUGGACAACGGCAGGAUAUCCGCCCAAAAUUCCAAGGAGGGCUGGCAACACUACCGAGAAGGAUUACUCGACGUCAGGGGAUCGCCGCCGAAGUCGCCAACAAUUGCCAGGUAUAACUUAAAUAAUUGUAAGUGUUUAAUCGUGUUUUUUUUUAUGUAUUUAGGAUGGUCCACAUCAACACCGCGGUGGGCUACUGGACAACGAGGUUCGCUGUCGGAGCCACCAGGAACAGUCGCCAAA